UCAACCACUGCGCCACCAGGGGAGGCCCUAGAAGGAAACUGCUAAAUCCCUGCCCUCCCGGGGAGCAUGAUCUAGAGGCUGGGAAAGGCAGAUACACCAGUAUCCACAGUACAGGCCAUGUCAACAGGGAGAGCCUGGAGGCUGAGCCCACACAGGCACUUGGCUGAGCCAGAGACAAAGCCAACUCCACCCGCAAGAUCUGGAAGGUGACAGCAGCAUCUCAGGCCUUGGCAGUUGCCCUGUGUGGGUGCUAGAGAGGAAGCAGAAGCAUGUCUACAGAGGAUAGGCCCGAUGCCUGUUCCUCGCUGAGUCUCCAGAACGUCUAUGCUGUGCCAGGAAUCCAGUGAAUGCUUUGAUG